rnacentral:rRNA from 1 species
GACGAACUGUGCAAACGUUAUUCGGAUUCACUGGGCUUAAAGGGUGCGUAGGCGGCUUGUUAAGUAGGGUGUGAAAGCCCCCAGCUCAACUGGGGAACUGCAUUCUAUACUGGCGAGCUGGAGUGAGAUAGGGGUGUGUGGAACUGCCAGUGGAGCGGUGAAAUGUGUUGAUAUUGGCAGGAACGCCGGUGGCGAAAGCGACACACUGGGUCUCAACUGACGCUGAGGCACGAAAGCCAGGGGAGCGAACGGG